GAGGUAGUGACAAGAAAUAACGAUACGGGGUCUUUACAGGUCUCGCAAUUGGAAUGAGUACAAUUUAAAUCCUUUAACGAGGAUCAAUUGGGGGGCAAGUCUGGUGCCAGCAGCCGCGGUAAUUCCAGCUCCAAUAGCGUAUAUUAAAGUUGUUGCAGUUAAAAAGCUCGUAGUUGGAUUUCGGACUGGUGUAGCACGGUCUGCCGCAAGGUUUGUUUACUGUGUUGCGCUGUCUUCUUCUUAAAAUCCUGUUGUGCACUUGACUGUGUGCAGCCAGUGAGUUUAAGACGUUUACUUUGAAAAAAUUAGAGUGUUCAAAGCAGGCAUGCGAUUUUGCCCGAAUACAUGAGCAUGGAAUAAUGGAAUAGGACUACGGUCUUAUUUUGUUGGUUUCUGAGACCGAAGUAAUGAUUAAGAGGGACAAUUGGGGGCAUCCGUAUUUCGUUGUCAGAGGUGAAAUUCUUGGAUUUACGAAAGACGAACAACUGCGAAAGCAUUUGCCAAGAGUGUUUUCAUUAAUCAAGAACGAAAGUUAGAGGAUCGAAGACGAUCAGAUACCGUCCUAGUUCUAACCAUAAACGAUGUCGACUAGGGAUUGGCAGGCGUUAUUAUUUCACAUACGACCCUGUCAGCACCUUACGGGAAACCAAAGUCUUUGGAUUCCGGGGGAAGUAUGGUUGCAAAACUGAAACUUAAAGGAAUUGACGGAAGGGCACCACCAGGAGUGGAGCCUGCGGCUUAAUUUGACUCAACACGG
rnacentral:rRNA from 1 species